rnacentral:misc_RNA from 1 species
CCGAGUUUACAACUCCCAAACCCAUGUGAACAUACCUACUUGUUGCCUCGGCGGGAUUCAGCCCGGCUCCUCGUGUCCAACGGAUCAGGCCCGCCUAGGAGACCCUAACUCUUGUUUUAUAUUGUAAUCUUCUGAGUAGUUUAACAAAUAAAUAA